GCAUCCUUUGCUGAGGAUACGGUUAACGGAGCGAAAGCGACGUUCAACCGCAAAAGAAGCAGAGGGGGCUUAGUGGUGGGGUGACUGCGUACCUUUUGUAUAAUGGGUCAGCGACUUAUAUUCUGUAGCAAGGUUAACCGAAUAGGGGAGCCGGAGGGAAACCGAGUCUUAACCGGGCGUUAAGUUGCAGGGUAUAGACCCGAAACCCGGUGAUCUAGCCAUGGGCAGGUUGAAGGUUGGGUAACACUAACUGGAGGACCGAACCGACUAAUGUUGAAAAAUUAGCGGAUGACCUGUGGCUGGGGGUGAAAGGCCAAUCAAACCGGGAGAUAGCUGGUUCUCCCCGAAAGCUAUUUAGGUAGCGCCUCGUGAAUUCAUCUCCGGGGGUAGAGCACUGUUUCGGCUAGGGGGCCAUCCCGGCUUACCAACCCGAUGCAAACUGCGAAUACCGGAGAAUGUUAUCACGGGAGACACACGGCGGGUGCUAACGUCCGUCGUGAAGAGGGAAACAACCCAGACCGCCAGCUAAGGUCCCAAAGUCAUGGUUAAGUGGGAAACGAUGUGGGAAGGCCCAGACAGCCAGGAUGUUGGCUUAGAAGCAGCCAUCAUUUAAAGAAAGCGUAAUAGCUCACUGGUCGAGUCGGCCUGCGCGGAAGAUGUAACGGGGCUAAACCAUGCACCGAAGCUGCGGCAGCGAACGUAUCACUUAAAGCGAUUCAGCGGGUUACGAUUGACGGAGCGAAGCGACGUCAAAGCGUAUACAAAGUCGAGUCGGUUUAAGGAUACGUUCGUUGGGUAGGGGAGCG
rnacentral:rRNA from 1 species